AUUUUCCCGCCAGUCGAUCGCCGCCGCCGUAGCCCGUUGGUCCGAAACUCCCACCGAAACGCGACCGUCGACGGGCGCGCUCCGGCGGGUGUGUGGGUUCAUUCAUCAGGCACCCGGCACCGAUCGGAUGAGUCGUCCGACAGCGGCGGCGGCAUAGCGUACGGAACUACGGAAGGAAAAGCGAGCGGGAAAAGAAGAAGAGAAAUAAAACCUUAAAAACCAAUCGCGCGUGAGUGUGCGCGCGCCCGCGGUGUGUGCCGUGCUCGUGCAGUCGUAGUCCGAUCGUUUUCGUCGUCGUCCGCCGUUUUUCUCUACCGCGGACUCAUCGGUUUAUUCGUUCCCGGCCGCCGUCGUCGGCAGCGAGUUAGUGGUGGCGUUUACACCCCCGGGGCAAGACGGCCACAGGACAUCGCUCGCUUAUCACCGUUAGACGACUCGCCCAUCACAAGAUUAGAACAAUGAAAAUAAGCGUUCAGUUAAAAAUGUUCGCUAGAUUUAACUAAAACAAAAAAGAAAGAAAAAACGAGUUUUAUUCAUUGACCAACACACGAAGCCGUAUAAUAUUGUUACCAGACACCGGUGGUACGAGACCGUAAGCCACCAGCUAUCGGGUUUCGACUGUCGUCUUGCAUUACCACGUGUUCCCACCCAUCAACCCUGAGGAAAUUGUACUCGCACGACGGAAACAAAUGAAUACUGUUAUAUUUUAUGCAACGCCGCUGCUGCACGCCUUUUUCCCUCUACACGCGAUAAUAGGCAUGGGUUAAUAUGGGCAUCAUAGAACAAUACUGUUUUGCGUAUAUAAGUCAAAGGAUUCCGGGCAGACAAGCGCAGUAUUCGCAAGACUCUUCUUUUGGACGUAUCAAAGUGUGUGUCCUAUUACUAUAUAAUGCAUUAAUGUAUGGUCUAUAUAUGAGAGCUGUGUACCUAAUCGGAUCGUUAAACGUCGGUGAAUA